rnacentral:lncRNA from 1 species
CUUUAGGCACGUGCCUACACAUAUUUUUUCACAAACAUUUUUUUUUUAUUUAAAAAAUGAUAAACAACGUUAUAUGUAGAAGAACUCCAGUGAAGUUGUCACAACUCUAAUUAUCGAAUGUCAUGUGUACACUAGUCUUUCGUCCUUAGUGAAUGUCGGAAUAUUGGAUAGAAUUGAAUGUAUUUUUAUGUGUGUACCUUAUUUAGAAACUAUAAACUAGAACUUUGGUUCAGAUCAUUUCAAUUCUAUCAACAAAAACUUAAAUGAACCUCAACUUAGACACAUGAAUCUUUGAUUAGUUGUUGUUAGUUUUCAACUAGCUUUCCACUUUGUCUUCACCCGACUUGCCAAUGUUGGUCGUCCGUUUGUCUGUGCAGGAUGUAUAAAUACGUAGUCACGUCUGGUCAGAAUGGGGACAUUUAAUCUUAUGCCUAGUUCUAGAGAGAAUACCACUCUUUGGGGAGUUCGUAGUUGAUCUACUGAAAGGCAAAGUUUCUGCUCCUAUCCAAUAAAUCCCUUUUUCCAAUGCAUGGUAUUUUCAAAUUUCCAGACCAUCGUCCUGUACAACACCUAUUACAGGACUAAGCUCCCUGUUGUGUUUUAUGUAAAUAAUCAUUUUUUUUUUUUUUUUUUUUUUGUUCUAAACCUGCAUAAAUAUUUUACACUGGAUGUUUAAAAAUCAAUCUAUCAACUAGCUUCCAGUAGUUUUGAGUACUCUCAGAUCUACGUGUAAUGACCACAAUUAUUCAAAUUCCUAAGCAGGUAGGGAUUUUACAGUAGAGCGGGAUAUAAGAAAUACAAAUUUCUUGAAUUUUGUUACGUUAGUAUGAACAGAACAGAACUUUUGCAUUAGCAUCAACUAUGUGUUUGUGUGGCUAGGGUGAAGGUUAAAGAAUCAAAAGAUUGAUGAUUGAUGUCUUUCUGGCCAAAAGGAUAGUGUUAUUAUAUAGUAAUAUCAGUGUUAACGUACACGUGCCUAUUUUUUUCAAUGAAGGAUCGUCAAUAUAUAAUAUGUACUAUCAAUUAAGUUAAACGUAUAUCAUGUAUAUAUCGAUCAUAACGGAAUAGAUUUGAAAAUACCAAACAGGGUGUACUGCUUAAUUAAAGGGAUACGCGGAUCUAUGCUGGGCAGUACAUAUUGUAAAUAUUUUUUUUAAUAUUUGAUUUUCUAAUUGUACUGCGUUAUUUAAUUCACCAUUCAGAUGUUAUGGUAAAUUAUUCAUAAUUCUUUUAAAUUUUCAUCAUGUAUAUUAUUAUAAUUAUCAUGAUUAAAUAACCAGAAAAUUUAAUAUUUUUGUGCAUAAAAUUUUGCAGCCAAAACGCUGAAAUCAGUUUUCUGUCGGGGCUUUGCCCCCUGAACCCCCUACCAGGCUCUGUCCUGGACCUGCUGGGGGCCUUAUGCGGCCCCCAGACCCCAUGCCGAUUUGUGCCUACAGUUGAAUUAACACCUAGCUACGCCCC